rnacentral:rRNA from 1 species
GUCCAGACUCCUACGGGAGGCAGCAGUGGGGAAUAUUGCACAAUGGGGGAAACCCUGAUGCAGCGACGCCGCGUGAGCGAUGAAGUAUUUCGGUAUGUAAAGCUCUAUCAGCAGGGAAGAAGAUGACGGUACCUGACUAAGAAGCCCCGGCUAACUACGUGCCAGCAGCCGCGGUAAUACGUAGGGGGCAAGCGUUAUCCGGAUUUACUGGGUGUAAAGGGAGCGUAGACGGCGGCGCAAGCCAGAUGUGAAAGCCCGGGGCUCAACUCCGGGACUGCAUUUGGAACUGUGUGGCUGGAGUGUCGGAGAGGCAGGCGGAAUUCCUAGUGUAGCGGUGAAAUGCGUAGAUAUUAGGAGGAACACCAGUGGCGAAGGCGGCCUGCUGGGCUUUUACUGACGCUGAGGCUCGAAAGUGUGGGGAGCAAACAGGAUUAGAUACCCGCGUACU